CGUAGCGUAGCGUAGCGGCAACGCGCCUGUCUAGUUAGUAGGAGUCGUGAGUUCAAGUCUCACCGCGCGG
rnacentral:tRNA from 1 species